ACAAUAAUAUUUGAUAUACUAAAAGUAAGAUUUACAAUGCAAAAGUCAAAGAUUGAUAUUUUAAAUUUUAAUUAUCAUGUAAAGGAGCAUGGAUUGCAACAUAACGUCGUUUGCGCGACAUAUCGCGCGUGAUCACGCGAUCAACGAGAGAGCGCUAAAGGCAUUGUGGGAAAGAAGCGCGUCCUUUUCAAAUUUUCGUCGCUGUUGUGUAACGUGUCUUCACUGAUCGCCGAUAUUUUAUCGAUUUUUUUCAAUUCAUACGUUUAAUAUGGAUCAAGAAACGACAAGUUUGCUCGAACAAAUCGCUAGAGUGGUCAAAGAAUGCGAGCAGAUAUUGGAAGGAACUGGCAUUGUAGAAGAUGAAGAAAGAUAUAGAUAUACUCUAUUUUACUGGAAAUGGAAAUGAAAACAAGCCUUUGAAAGUCGACAGUGAAGAUCCAAAGCAUUUUGGGGAAAAUUAGUUCGAAAUCUUCCAAUCAUCCUGAUUGACCAGGAAGGUAUUUACAUUGUUAUUGAAAAACAUAUUUUGAUAUGGGCAGUAGUUGAAAAGAUAGCUGAUGCAGUUGUUGCCUUCCUGGCUUCAUUCUAUUUGUUGGACAUUGACUAUCCAAAACAUCAUGAAAUAGAAUUGCCAGUCCUGCAAGUUAUAAUUUUCAAAGACUCUCAAGUGCCACAGGACAUCAGUUUAGCUUGUAUAAGCAUGUUAAUGUCAUAUAAAGAAGUAUGUUGAACUUUUGUUAAGUAAAUUAUUGAUGUAUAUUAUUACUCAUAUUAUAAAAGCAUAUAUUAAUAGGAUUUUCAGCUAUUUUUAAUGGUCAAAAUUGUCUCAUUUGAAGUUAUUUAUUCUCAAAACAAGGAUGUUUUUCUUGAAAUAAAUUUUUUUUCUUAUAUGUAAAAAGUAUUUUCUUAUUUCAGGUGUAAUUUUAUCUAACUUAGACAUUAUAAUUUCUUAUGAAAGAUGUUUUC